rnacentral:rRNA from 1 species
GUAGAAUAGAAAUAAAUUAUAUUAGUUAGGAGUUUAAUGGUGAAAUUAAAUAAAUAAGGGACUUAAAAGGUAAAAUUUGUUAAGUUUGUAUUUUUUUAAGGUAGAGAAUUGAAGCUUUGAAAAUUUAAUGUGAAACUAGGAUUAGAUACCCUAUUAUUUUAAUUGUAAAAAGUGGAGACUUGAGUAGUAUUAGAUAAGUACUUGAAACUCAAAGAAUUUGGCGGUGUCUUAGUCUUUUCAGAGGAAUCUGUCCCGUGAUUGAUAUUACACGUUAAAUGUUACUUAAUUUGGUAUAAUCAGCUUGUAUACCGCCGUUAUAAAAUCAUCUUUUUAGAGGAAGAAUUUUUUUAAUAUUAUAAGAUAAUAUAUCAGGUCAAGGUGCAGCUUAUAAUUAAGAGGGAGAUGGAUUACAAUAGAAUUAUUUAAAUGGAUUUUUUAUUGAAAGAUUAAAAUGAAGGUGGAUUUGAAGGUAAUUUUAUUAUAUUAUGAUAAAAUGAUUUAAGCUCUUGGACAUGUACACAUCGCCCGUCACUCUCGUUAUUAAGGUGAGAUAAGUCGUAACAUAGUAGUCGUACUGGAAAGUGUGGCUGGGAAGUCAA